rnacentral:rRNA from 1 species
AUUGAACGCUGGCGGCAUGCCUUACACAUGCAAGUCGAACGGCAGCACGGGAGCAAUCCUGGUGGCGAGUGGCGAACGGGUGAGUAAUAUAUCGGAACGUGCCCAGUCGUGGGGGAUAACACAGCGAAAGCUGUGCUAAUACCGCAUACGAUCUACGGAUGAAAGCGGGGGAUCGCAAGACCUCGCGCGAUUGGAGCGGCCGAUAUCAGAUUAGCUAGUUGGUGGGGUAAAGGCCCACCAAGGCGACGAUCUGUAGCUGGUCUGAGAGGACGACCAGCCACACUGGAACUGAGACACGGCCCAGACUCCUACGGGAGGCAGUAGUGGGGAAUUUUGGACAAUGGGGCAACCCUGAUCCAGCAAUGCCGCGUGAGUGAAGAAGGCCCUCGGGUUGUAAAGCUCUUUUGUCAGGGAAGAAACGGUCUACUCUAAUACAGUGGGCUAAUGACGGUACCUGAAGAAUAAGCACCGGCUAACUACGUGCCAGCCGCCGCAGUAAUAC